rnacentral:rRNA from 1 species
GAUGAACGCUGGCGGCGUGCCUAAUACAUGCAAGUAGAACGCUGAAGGAAGGAGCUUGCUCUUUCCGGAUGAGUUGCGAACGGGUGAGUAACGCGUAGGUAACCUGCCUGGUAGCGGGGGAUAACUAUUGGAAACGAUAGCUAAUACCGCAUAACAGUAGAUGUUGCAUGAUAUCUACUUAAAAGGUGCAAUUGCACCACUACCAGAUGGACCUGCGUUGUAUUAGCUAGUUGGUGAGGUAACGGCUCACCAAGGCGACGAUACAUAGCCGACCUGAGAGGGGGAUCGGCCACACUGGGACUGAGACACGGCCCAGACUCCUACGAGAGGCAGCAGUAGGGAAUCUUCGGCAAUGGACGGAAGUCUGACCGAGCAACGCCGCGUGAGUGAAGAAGGUUUUCGGAUCGUAAAGCUCUGUUGUAAGAGAAGAACGAGUGUGAGAGUGGAAAGUGCACACUGUGACGGUAUCUGAACAGAAAGGGACGGCUAACUACGUG